AACAUCGCGCACCUGCGGGAACCUGCGGAGGGAUCAUUACCGAGUGUGAACCCCCCCGUAAAAAAGAGGGGUUACCUCCCGUCCUUUGCUGGGAACCCCUUUCCAACUUGGAGGGAGGUUGUUUUCAGACCCUUCUGCUUCGGUGGGGUAACCCACCGGAACAACCUCAAAAAUAUUCUCAAUUCAAAACCGUUCAGUCCGAGAACUUUUUUGAAAAGCGAAAAAACUUUCAACAACGGA
rnacentral:misc_RNA from 1 species